AUUGAACGCUGGCGGCAGGCCUAACACAUGCAAGUCGAACGAGUGGCGGACGGGUGAGUAAUGUCUGGGAAACUGCCUGAUGGAGGGGGAUAACCACUGGAAACGGUAGCUAAUACCGCAUACCAUCGGAUGUGCCCAGAUGGGAUUUGCUAGUAGGUGGGGUAAAGGCUCACCUAGGCGACGAACCCUAGCUGGUCUGAGAGGAUGACCAGCGACACGGGACCUGAGGAACGGUCCAGACUCCUACGGGAGGCAGCAGUGGGUAAUAUUGCACAAUGGGCGCAAGCCUGAUGCAGCCAUGCCGCGUGUAUGAAGAAGGCCUUCGGGUUGUAAAGUACUUUCAGCGGGGAGGCGUUACCCGCAGAAGAAGCACCGGCUAACUCCGUGCCAGCAGCCGCGGUGAUUC
rnacentral:rRNA from 1 species